AUUGAACGCUGGCGGCAUGCUUUACACAUGCAAGUCGAACGGCAGCGCGGGCUUCGGCCUGGCGGCGAGUGGCGAACGGGUGAGUAAUGCAUCGGAACGUGCCCAGUAGUGGGGGAUAGCCCGGCGAAAGCCGGAUUAAUACCGCAUACGACCUGAGGGUGAAAGCGGGGGACCGAAAGGCCUCGCGCUAUUGGAGCGGCCGAUGUCGGAUUAGCUAGUUGGUGGGGUAAAGGCUUACCAAGGCGACGAUCCGUAGCUGGUCUGAGAGGACGACCAGCCACACUGGGACUGAGACACGGCCCAGACUCCUACGGGAGGCAGCAGUGGGGAAUUUUGGUCAAUGGGGGCAACCCUGAUCCAGCCAUGCCGCGUGCGGGAAGAAGGCCUUCGGGUUGUAAACCGCUUUUGUUCGGGAAGAAAUCCUCUGGGCUAAUACCCCGGGGGGAUGACGGUACCGGAAGAAUAAGCACCGGCUAACUACGUG
rnacentral:rRNA from 1 species